rnacentral:lncRNA from 1 species
AGAAGGGGGUGAGGGUGGGAGUUGGGGUGGGGGGACAAUGAUGUAAGUCACCAUCCCACUGCCAAGGCCCGAGAGCCAGGUUCACCAAAGUCUGAGGGCAGGAGAAGAUGGAUGUCCCAGCUCAGGCAGAGAAUGAAUUCCCCCUACCUCUGCCCUUUGUUUUGCUCAGGCCCUCAACUGACUGGAUGCUGCCUGCCCACAUUGGUGAGGGUGAUCUUCUUUAGAGUCUACCGUGGAAAUGCUAAUCUCUUCCUGAAACACCCACACAGCAGAAUCCUCUUUGCGAUUAGUGGAGUCGGAUUUUCCAAGCUGCAAAUGUCAGCAAAAGCUCAACCCUCCAGCCCUCUCCUAAAUCAACUGCAGAGGCCAGCUUGCUGUUCCAGCAGGUCCCAAUGUGCCCAAGUGCACCUGCGGUCACAGACGUUCUGGCUCUGCUCCAGCUGAGGCGUGAGCCCCCAGAGGCCUGAGUUAUGUGAAAUUUCUGCUUAUUAGAGAGUGUUUCGCAGCUGAUUCCUUAGAGUAUGAGUGCUAUUUUUAACACUUUUGCAUUUGUAAUUACCCAGGAGUUGGGCACUUGAGGACACCUUUAUUAGCAGAAGGGAAGUGCUGGGAAUUCUCUGCAAGACUAUCAAGACCUUUUUGCCAAUAGAGUUGGAGCGGUAUAGUUCUUGAGGGCUGAGGCUGUAUUUUUCUUCUGUUUUUG